rnacentral:rRNA from 1 species
AAGACUGGGAUAACUUCGGGAAACCGGAGCUAAUGCCGGAUAACAUUUGGAACCGCAUGGUUCUAAAGUAAAAGAUGGUUUUGCUAUCACUUAUAGAUGGACCCGCGCCGUAUUAGCUAGUUGGUAAGGUAACGGCUUACCAAGGCAACGAUACGUAGCCGACCUGAGAGGGUGAUCGGCCACACUGGAACUGAGACACGGUCCAGACUCCUACGGGAGGCAGCAGUAGGGAAUCUUCCGCAAUGGACGAAAGUCUGACGGAGCAACGCCGCGUGAGUGAUGAAGGUUUUCGGAUCGUAAAACUCUGUUAUUAGGGAAGAACAAAUGUGUAAGUAACUGUGCACAUCUUGACGGUACCUAAUCAGAAAGCCACGGCUAACUACGUGCCAGCAGCCGCGGUAAUACGUAGGUGGCAAGCGUUAUCCGGAAUUAUUGGGCGUAAAGCGCGCGUAGGCGGUUUCUUAAGUCUGAUGUGAAAGCCCACGGCUCAACCGUGGAGGGUCAUUGGAAACUGGGAAACUUGAGUACAGAAGAGGAAAGUGGAAUUCCAUGUGUAGCGGUGAAAUGCGCAGAGAUAUGGAGGAACACCAGUGGCGAAGGCGACUUUCUGGUCUGUAACUGACGCUGAUGUGCGAAAGCGUGGGGAUCAAACAGGAUUAGAUACCCUGGUAGUCCACGCCGUAAACGAUGAGUGCUAAGUGUUAGGGGGUCUCCGCCCCUUAGUGCUGCAGCUAACGCAUUAAGCACUCCGCCUGGGGAGUACGACCGCAAGGUUGAAACUCAAGA